UCUAAUUUGUCCAAUAAGAUUCACACCGACAAACCAUCCCUAGCACAAGUGGCAAAAGACUUGGUGAUUUGUAUCCGAAGUCCCAAGUUCGAAUCCUAGUUGAUUCAUAUUUCUAUAGCUAAGUUUAUUUCUAAAAUUAAAUAAACGAAGUGGGUAGCAUGCUAUCUAUCCCACAGUAUAGUUACUGAAAUAGAGAUAGAAAAGGUC
rnacentral:lncRNA from 1 species